GCCAGGCAUGGUGACUUAUGCCUGUAGUCACAGCUACUUGGAGGCUGAGGUAGGAGGAUUGCUUGAGCCCAGGAGGCUGAGGCUGCAGUGAGCCAAGAUCAUGCCACUGCACUCCAGCCUGGGCGACAGAGCAAGACCCCAUCUCAA
ensembl:misc_RNA Metazoa_SRP Metazoan signal recognition particle RNA